rnacentral:rRNA from 1 species
AACGAACGCUGGCGGCGUGGAUAAGACAUGCAAGUCGGACGAGAUUUUUCGUUGUAGCAAUAUGAUGGGAAGUUUAGUGGCGAACGGGUGCUUAACACGUGGGCAACCUGCCAGGAAGUGGGGGAUAGCUCGCCGAAAGGCGAAUUAAUACCGCAUGUGAUUAGAGAGGACAUCCUUUCGAAAUUAAAGUCGGGGCAACCUGACGCUUCUUGUGGGGCCCGCGGCCUAUCAGCUAGUUGGUGGGGUAACGGCUCACCAAGGCUUUGACGGGUAGCUGGUCUGAGAGGACGACCAGCCACACUGGGACUGAGACACGGCCCAGACACCUACGGGUGGCAGCAGUCGAGAAUUUUUGACAAUGGGGGAAACCCUGAUCGAGCGACGCCGCGUGGAGGAUGAAGGUCUUCGGAUUGUAGACUCCUGUCAUUGGGGAACAAUGCGUGACGGUUAACUGCCGUCGCGUUGAUAGUACCCGAAGAGGAAGAGACGGCUAACUCUGUGCCAGCAGCCGCUGUAACAC